rnacentral:SRP_RNA from 1 species
GUGAUCGUGCGGCGGGGAGCACGGCUGACCGCGCUUUAUGUCCUCAAGAGCGGGGAGGUGCACGACAUCAAUGAGAUAGGCUCCAUGAUGCGCAUCAGGCGUCGCCCGAGCACUUGGGGAGAGCACUUCUGGUUCCAGGUGCUGCAAGGCGAAGUGAAGCGUGCGAGGGUGGA